GGUUAUAUUUUAUUUUUAGUAAACUUAUAUUAGAAUGAGCUUGCUAGUUCAAGUGGUAUGGAGUUAGUUUGUUGAAGGUCUCAUGUUUGAAUUCCUAUGUGAGCAUGGAUGUUUUUUUUUUUUGCCUAAAUUGUGUGAUAGAGGUUCGAUGGAAGUCAAAUUGUGAGGUAGUUGAGAGUUAGUGGGUCGGUUAGUAAUGAGAUAAUGUGGGGGUUGAGAUAUUGUGGGAAUUAAUUUGAAUAUUUUUUAUUUUAUUUCAUUUUCUCAAUUUAUUUUCGUCUCUCCCUCUGACUUUUUUUCUUCUAUGCUCCACUACUAAUUUCUUUUGUUUUCUUUUUCGAUUUCGGUCUUAUUUCUUUCCUUUAAUUUUCGAUCCCUUCACAUGCUUUGUAGGUAAGAUUUCGCUAUGGGUUGAGAGAGUUGUUGUUUAAUGUUUUAGUUUCUAUGGGUGUUUUAGGCUGAUUUGAUAUACCAUUUUGAUAGGUGUUACUCAGGAAAUUUGAG
rnacentral:lncRNA from 1 species